rnacentral:rRNA from 1 species
AUUGAACGCUAGCGGGAUGCCUUACACAUGCAAGUCGAACGGAGUGGCCAACGGGUGAGUAAUGUAUCGGAACGUGCCCAGUCUCGGGGGCUAACUACGCUUAAGCGUAGCUAAUCUCGCAUCCUAUUUGCUCUGCCGUUAGGGGAUUAGCUAGUUGGUGUGGUAACGGCUCAACAAGGCGACGAACCGUAGCUGGUUUGAGAGGACGACCAGCCACACUGGGACUGAGACACGGCCCAGACGCCUACGGGAGGCAGCAGUGGGGAAUUUUGGACAAUGGGGGAAAGCCUGAUCCAGCCAUCCCGCGUGUGCGAUGAAGGCCUUCGGGUUGUAAAGCACUGUUAGCAGGAAAGCGGUACCUGAAGAAUAAGCACCGGCUAACUACGUGCCAGCAGCCGCGGUAAUUC